rnacentral:rRNA from 1 species
ACGGGAGACACACGGCGGGUGCUAACGUCCGUCGUGAAGAGGGAAACAACCCAGACCGCCAGCUAAGGUCCCAAAGUCAUGGUUAAGUGGGAAACGAUGUGGGAAGGCCCAGACAGCCAGGAUGUUGGCUUAGAAGCAGCCAUCAUUUAAAGAAAGCGUAAUAGCUCACUGGUCGAGUCGGCCUGCGCGGAAGAUGUAACGGGGCUAAACCAUGCACCGAAGCUGCGGCAGCGACACUGUGUGUUGUUGGGUAGGGGAGCGUUCUGUAAGCCUGUGAAGGUGGCCUGUGAGGGUUGCUGGAGGUAUCAGAAGUGCGAAUGCUGACAUAAGUAACGAUAAAGCGGGUGAAAAGCCCGCUCGCCGGAAGACCAAGGGUUCCUGUCCAACGUUAAUCGGGGCAGGGUGAGUCGACCCCUAAGGCGAGGCCGAAAGGCGUAGUCGAUGGGAAACGGGUUAAUAUUCCCGUACUUGGUGUUACUGCGAAGGGGGGACGGAGAAGGCUAUGUUGGCCGGGCGACGGUU